rnacentral:rRNA from 1 species
CACGUAGGGGGCGAGCGUUGUCCGGAUUUAUUGGGCGUAAAGAGCUCGUAGGCGGCUCAGUAAGUCAGGUGUGAAACCCCCGGGCUCAACCCGGGGACGCCACCUGAUACUGCUGUGGCUAGAGUCCGGUAGGGGAGCGUGGAAUUCCUGGUGUAGCGGUGAAAUGCGCAGAUAUCAGGAGGAACACCGGUGGCGAAGGCGGUUCUCUGGGCAUUACCUGACGCUGAGGAGCGAAAGUGUGGGGAGCGAACAGG